UAAGUGAUGGCGACCGGCGCACGGGUGAGUAACACGUAUCCAACCUGCCGAUAACUCGGGGAUAGCCUUUCGAAAGAAAGAUUAAUACCGGAUAGCAUACGAAUAUCGCGUGAUAUUUUUAUUAAAGAAUUUCGGUUAUCGAUGGGGAUGCGUUCCAUUAGUUUGUUGGCGGGGUAACGGCCCACCAAGACUACGAUGGAUAGGGGUUCUGAGAGGAAGGUCCCCCACAUUGGAACUGAGACACGGUCCAA
rnacentral:rRNA from 1 species